GCCUGGGUGGCUCAGUCAGUUAAGCGUCUGACUUCGGCUCGGAUGAUGAUCUCACGGUUUGUGGGUUUGAGCCCCGCGUCAGGCU
rnacentral:tRNA from 1 species